rnacentral:rRNA from 1 species
UCGCUUGUUUUUACAAAAACAUGUCUUUUUGUUUAAAAUUUAAAGUCUAACCUGCCCACUGAUAUAUAUUAAAGGGCCGCGGUAUUUUGACUGUGCAAAGGUAGCAUAAUCAUUUGUCUCUUAAUUGGAGGCUGGAAUGAAUGGUUGAAUGAAAUAUUAACUGUCUCAUUUUUAAAAUUAUAAAAAUUUAGCUUUUGAGUCAAAAGGCUUAAAUAAAUUUAGAGGACGAGAAGACCCUAUAGAUCUUUAUAAUUGUAUUAAUUUUAUAAAAUAGAAAAUUAAUUAAUAAAAUUAAUAUAAUUAUUUUGUUGGGGUGAUAGGAAAAUUAAAAAAACUUUUUUUAAAUAUAAACAUUUAUUUAUGAAUAAUUGAUCCAUUAUUAAUGAUUAUAAGAUUAAGUUACCUUAGGGAUAACAGCGUAAUUUUUUUGAAGAGUUCUUAUCGAUAAAAAAGAUUGCGACCUCGAUGUUGAAUUAAAGGUUAUUUCUAGAUGUAGCAGUUUAGAGUUUAGGUCUGUUCGACCUUUGAAUCUUUACAUGAUCUGAGUUCAAACCAGA